rnacentral:rRNA from 1 species
GGGAAGUGGCGGCGUGCUUACCAUGCAAGUCGAACGAUGAUGCCCAGCUUGCUGGGUGGAUUAGUGGCGAACGGGUGAGUAACACGUGAGUAACCUGCCCCUGACUCUGGGAUAAGCGUUGGAAACGACGUCUAAUACUGGAUAUGAUCACUGGCCGCAUGGUCUGGUGGUGGAAAGAUUUUUUGGUUGGGGAUGGACUCGCGGCCUAUCAGCUUGUUGGUGAGGUAAUGGCUCACCAAGGCGACGACGGGUAGCCGGCCUGAGAGGGUGACCGGCCACACUGGGACUGAGACACGGCCCAGACUCCUACGGGAGGCAGCAGUGGGGAAUAUUGCACAAUGGGCGAAAGCCUGAUGCAGCAACGCCGCGUGAGGGAUGACGGCCUUCGGGUUGUAAACCUCUUUUAGUAGGGAAGAAGCGAAAGUGACGGUACCUGCAGAAAAAGCACCGGCUAACUACGUGCCAGCAGCCGCGGUAAUACGUAGGGUGCAAGCGUUGUCCGGAAUUAUUGGGCGUAAAGAGCUCGUAGGCGGUUUGUCGCGUCUGCUGUGAAAUCCCGAGGCUCAACCUCGGGCUUGCAGUGGGUACGGGCAGACUAGAGUGCGGUAGGGGAGAUUGGAAUUCCUGGUGUAGCGGUGGAAUGCGCAGAUAUCAGGAGGAACACCGAUGGCGAAGGCAGAUCUCUGGGCCGUAACUGACGCUGAGGAGCGAAAGCAUGGGGAGCGAACAGGAUUAGAUACCCUGGUAGUCCAUGCCGUAAACGUUGGGCGCUAGAUGUAGGGACCUUUCCACGGUUUCUGUGUCGUAGCUAACGCAUUAAGCGCCCCGCCUGGGGAGUACGGCCGCAAGGCUAAAACUCAAAGGAAUUGACGGGGGCCCGCACAAGCGGCGGAGCAUGCGGAUUAAUUCGAUGCAACGCGAAGAACCUUACCAAGGCUUGACAUACACCGGAAACGGCCAGAGAUGGUCGCCCCCUUGUGGUCGGUGUACAGGUGGUGCAUGGUUGUCGUCAGCUCGUGUCGUGAGAUGUUGGGUUAAGUCCCGCAACGAGCGCAACCCUCGUUCUAUGUUGCCAGCGGGUUAUGCCGGGGACUCAUAGGAGACUGCCGGGGUCAACUCGGAGGAAGGUGGGGAUGACGUCAAAUCAUCAUGCCCCUUAUGUCUUGGGCUUCACGCAUGCUACAAUGGCCGGUACAAAGGGCUGCGAUACCGUAAGGUGGAGCGAAUCCCAAAAAGCCGGUCUCAGUUCGGAUUGAGGUCUGCAACUCGACCUCAUGAAGUCGGAGUCGCUAGUAAUCGCAGAUCAGCAACGCUGCGGUGAAUACGUUCCCGGGCCUUGUACACACCGCCCGUCAAGUCAUGAAAGUCGGUAACACCCGAAGCCGGUGGCCUAACCCUUGUGGAAGGAGCCGUCGAGAGGUCCAUACCGCCGCCUUUC